rnacentral:rRNA from 1 species
UACGUAGGGUGCGAGCGUUAAUCGGAAUUACUGGGCGUAAAGCGUGCGCAGGCGGUGCUGUAAGACCGAUGUGAAAUCCCCGGGCUUAACCUGGGAACUGCAUUGGUGACUGCAGCGCUGGAGUAUGGCAGAGGGGGGUGGAAUUCCACGCGUAGCAGUGAAAUGCGUAGAGAUGUGGAGGAACACCGAUGGCGAAGGCAGCCCCCUGGGCCAAUACUGACGCUCAUGCACGAAAGCGUGGGGAGCAAACAGG